AACGAACGCUGGCGGCAUGCCUAACACAUGCAAGUCGAACGAGACCUUCGUGGUUAUUGGCGUACGGAUGCGUAACGCGUAAGAACCUGCUCUUAGGUUCGGAACAACUCCCCGAAAGUGGUGCUAAUACCGGAUAAUGUAUUCGGACCAAAGAUUCAUUGCCUUUGGGUGGGCCGGCGUUUGAUUAGUUAUUUGGUAGGGUAAAAGCCUACCAAGGCGACGAUACAUAGCUGGUCUGGGGGGAUGAUCAGCCACACUGGGAGAGGGACACGGCCCAGACUCCUACGGGAGGGAGCAGUGGGGAAUAUGGGACACUGGGCGAAAGACUGAUCCAGCAGUGCCGCGUGAGUGAUGAAGGCGUGAGGGUUGUAAAGCUCUUUUACACGGGAUGAUAAUGACAGUACCGGGAGAAUAGGCACGGGCUACCUCCGU
rnacentral:rRNA from 1 species